UACGUAGGCAGCAAGCGUUGUUCGGAGUUACUGGGCGUAAAGAGUGCGUAGGCGGUCUUUUAAGUUUGGUGUGAAAUCUCCCGGCUCAACUGGGAGGGUGCGCCCGAAAACUGGGAGGCUUGAGGAUGGGAGAGGGGGGUGGAAUUCCACGUGGUAGCAGUGAAAUGCGUAGAGAUGUGGAGGAACACCGAUGGCGAAGGCAGCCCCCUGGGUCAACACUGACGCUCAUGCACGAAAGCGUGGGGAGCAAACAGG
rnacentral:rRNA from 1 species